rnacentral:rRNA from 1 species
CUACGGGGUGCUCCAGUGAGGAAUAUUGCACAAUGGGGGGAACCCUGAUGCAGCAACGCCGCGUGGAGGAUGACGCAUUUCGGUGUGUAAACUCCUUUUAUAUGUCAAGAAAAUGACGGUAGCAUAUGAAUAAGCACCGGCUAACUCCGUGCCAGCAGCCGCGGUAAUACGGAGGGUGCAAGCGUUACUCGGAAUCACUGGGCGUAAAGGACGCGUAGGCGGGUUGGAAAGUCAGGUGUGAAAUCCUACAGCUUAACUGUAGAACUGCACUUGAAACUUCUAAUCUAGAGUAUGGGAGGGGGAGAUGGAAUUAGUGGUGUAGGGGUAAAAUCCGUAGAUAUCACUAGGAAUACCUAACGCGAAGGCGAUCUCCUGGAACAUUGCUGACGCUAAGGCGUGAAAGCGUGGGGAGCAAACAGGAUUAGAUACCCUUGUAGUC